rnacentral:rRNA from 1 species
GACGAACGCUGGCGGCGUGCUUAACACAUGCAAGUCGAACGGAAAGGCUCCAGCUUGCUGGAGUACUCGAGUGGCGAACGGGUGAGUAACACGUGGGUAAUCUGCCCUGCACUCUGGGAUAAGCCUGGGAAACUGGGUCUAAUACUGGAUAUGACCUUUCUCCUUAUGGGGUUUGGUGGAAAGUUUUUCGGUGUAGGAUGAGCCCGCGGCCUAUCAGCUUGUUGGUGGGGUGAUGGCCUACCAAGGCGACGACGGGUAGCCGGCCUGAGAGGGUGAUCGGCCACAUUGGGACUGAGAUACGGCCCAGACUCCUACGGGAGGCAGCAGUGGAGAAUAUUGCACAAUGGGCGGAAGCCUGAUGCAGCGACGCCGCGUGAGGGAUGACGGCCUUCGGGUUGUAAACCUCUUUCAGCAGGGACGAAGCGUAAGUGACGGUACCUGCAGAAGAAGCACCGGCUAACUACGUG